rnacentral:ncRNA from 1 species
AAUGGGUUGUUUGGUCACUUUUCAUUAUAGAUCUUAUGGGACUUUUUUUCUACAACAAAAUCGGCUCCAUAAGAUCUAUAGGGGAUUUUCCCACUACAAAUAUUAUAGAGCC